GGAGAGGUGGCUGAGUGGCCGAAAGCAACGGUUUGCUAAACCGUCGUACGGGUAAUACUGUACCGGGGGUUCGAAUCCCCCCCUCUCCGCCA
rnacentral:tRNA from 1 species